rnacentral:misc_RNA from 1 species
CGCACCUACCGAUUGAAUGGUCCGGUGAAGCCUCGGGAUUGCGAUUAGUGCCUUUACUGGUGCUGGUUGUGAGAACUUGUCUGAACCUUAUCAUUUAGAGGAAGGUGAAGUCGUAACAAGGUUUCCGUAGGUGAACCUGCGGAAGGAUCAUUAUCACACAUGAUUCUAGAAUCAUCAUUAAUGAGAUGCAUGAUUUGCUCAACAGGUCCACCAUUCUAACAUUGGUGGAUGGGUAGGUGUAGAGUGCAACCUGUUCUUGGUCAGUCUAGAUCACCACCAGGUCAAGCUCUCUCCUGCUCUGCAGUUAACCAGAAUGAAAUUAAAAACUAAGUGGGAAAAAGUCAAGUGGUAUAGCUUUUCAGCAAUGGAUGUCUUGGUUCCCACAUCAAUGAAGAACGCAGCGAAAUGCGAUACGUGAGACGAAUUGCAAAGCCUAGUGAAUCAUUGAAAUUUUGAACGCACAUUGCGCUUUCAGGUUUAUUCCUGGAAGCAUGCUGAUCUGAGUGUUGGUAAACUCCAAUCAGCGUCCGUUGUCAUUGGCGGGCUGCUGUUGCAAGAACGUUUUCAAACGUGCUGCAUUGUGAAAUUGUACGUUACCUGACUAGCUCGUGACUAAGUACUGUUUCAAAGUUAAUGUCGCAAGAUUUGAUGCUGCUUAAUGUCAGUGUAACUGGCAUCGCUUCGAUUAGCGGCCUUACUAGCACUAGCGAGUAGGAGAGUGCCAAUCAGUGGUGUGAGUUUGUUGAUUCUGACAUACCAUGGCAGCAUUUGAACCUGUUCUGAUCUCAGAAGUAGCAAGAGG